rnacentral:rRNA from 1 species
UACAGAGGGUGCGAGCGUUGUCCGGAAUCACUGGGCGUAAAGGGCGCGUAGGCGGUGACUUAAGCGUGUGGUGAAAGCUCGGGGCUCAACCCCGAGUCGGCCGUGCGAACUGGGUCACUGGAGCAGAUCAGAGGCAGGCGGAAUUCCGGGUGUAGCGGUGGAAUGCGUAGAGAUCCGGAAGAACACCGGUGGCGAAGGCGGCCUGCUGGGCAGUUUUGCUGACACUGAGGCGCGACAGCGUGGGGAGCAAACAGG